rnacentral:rRNA from 1 species
GACGAACGCUGGCGGCGUGCUAACACAUGCAAGUCGAGCGGUAAGGCCCUUUCGGGGGUACACGAGCGGCGAACGGGUGAGUAACACGUGGGUGACCUGCCCUCAGCUCUGGGAUAAGCCUGGGAAACCGGGUCUAAUACUGGAUAUGACUCCAUGACGCAUGUUGUGGGGUGGAAAGCCUUGUGCGGCUGAGGAUGGGCCCGCGGCCUAUCAGCUUGUUGGUGGGGNGAUGGCCUACCAAGGCGACGACGGGUAGCCGGCCUGAGAGGGCGACCGGCCACACUGGGACUGAGACACGGCCCAGACUCCUACGGGAGGCAGCAGUGGGGAAUCUUGCGCAAUGGGCGAAAGCCUGACGCAGCGACGCCGCGUGAGGGAUGACGGCCU